UACGUAGGGGCCAAGCGUUGUCCGGAUUUAUUGGGCGUAAAGAGCUCGUAGGUGGUUCGGCAAGUCAGUUGUGAAAUCUCCGCGCUCAACGCGGAGGGGUCAGCUGAAACUGCUGUGACUUGAGUCUGGUAGGGGAGUGUGGAAUUCCCGGUGUAGCGGUGAAAUGCGUAGAUAUCUGGAGGAAUACCGGUGGCGAAGGCGGCAUCCUGGACCAUUACUGACGCUGAGGCGCGAAAGCUAGGGGAGCAAACGGG
rnacentral:rRNA from 1 species